rnacentral:lncRNA from 1 species
GGAGCUCGCAAUAUCUUUUAUAGCCAGGCUUUUUUCUGCAUAUUUUAUGCUCCUUUCCAAUUAGGGAGAUUAUUAAGGGGUGAGGCCAAUUCCAACCAUGGGUUGCACCCAUACCCAUGGAGGGGGUGGAUGGUGAAGAAUGGGGAUUGCCUGGCUGGGCUCAGCAUUUUGAAAAAACUUUUCAGGAGUUAUCAGGCCAGGACAUGAACCUGCACUCUCCUGCGUGGCAUGCUGAUAGCGUUAUCACUCAGCCAUCCAGUCACUUUUAUAGUCAAGUUAAUAUCAAGAAGUGGCCAAUUGCAGACAAUCAUUCAAAUGAUCAUUUGUAAUUUGGU